rnacentral:rRNA from 1 species
UGGGGAAUAUUGGGCAAUGGAGGGAACUCUGACCCAGCGACGCCGCGUGCGGGAUGAAGGCCUUCGGGUUGUAAACCGCUUUCAGCAGGGAAGAAGCGAAAGUGACGGUACCUGCAGAAGAAGCACCGGCUAACUAUGUGCCAGCAGCCGCGGUAAUACAUAGGGUGCAAGCGUUGUCCGGAAUUAUUGGGCGUAAAGAGCUCGUAGGUGGUUCGUCACGUCGGAUGUGAAAAUCUGGGGCUUAACCCCAGACCUGCAUUCGAUACGGGCGAGCUGGAGUGUGGUAGGGGAGACUGGAAUUCCUGGUGUAGCGGUGGAAUGCGCAGAUAUCAGGAGGAACACCAAUGGCGAAGGCAGGUCUCUGGGCCAUUACUGACACUGAGGAGCGAAAGCGUGGGGAGCGAACAGGAUUAGAUACCCUGGUAGUCCACGCCGUAAACGGUGGGCACUAGUUGUGGGAACCUUCCACGGUUUCUGCGACGCAGCUAACGCAUUAAGUGCCCCGCCUGGGGAGUACGAUCGCAAGAUUA